rnacentral:rRNA from 1 species
UACGGAGGGUGCAAGCGUUAUUCGGAAUUAUUGGGCGUAAAGGGCGCGUAGGCGGCCUCGUAAGUCGAAGGUGAAAUCCCCGAGCUUAACUCGGGAACUGCCUUCGAUACUGCUUGGCUUGAGUCCGGGAGGGGAGAGCGGAAUUCCCAGUGUAGCGGUGAAAUGCGUAGAUAUUGGGAGGAACACCAAUGGCGAAGGCAGCCCCCUGGGUCGAUACUGACGCUCAUGCACGAAAGCGUGGGUAGCAAACAGGAUUAGAAACCCCAGUAGU